UGGGGAAUCUUGCACAAUGGGGGAAACCCUGAUGCAGCGACGCCGCGUGAGCGAUGAAGCCCUUCGGGGUGUAAAGCUCUUUCGGCAGGGAAGAUGAUGACGGUACCUGCAGAAGCAGCUGCGGCUAACUACGUGCCAGCAGCCGCGGUAAUACGUAGGCAGCGAGCGUUGUUCGGAGUUACUGGGCGUAAAGGGUGUGUAGGCGGCCUGUUAAGUUCCGUGUGAAAUCUCCCGGCUCAACCGGGAGGGUGCGCGGAAUACUGACGGGCUAGAGUGCGGGAUGGGAGAGUAGAAUUCCUGGUGUAGCGGUGAAAUGCGUAGAUAUCAGGAGGAAUACCGGUGGUGUAGACGGCUCUCUGGACCGCAACUGACGCUGAAACACGAAAGCGUGGGUAGCAAACAGGAUUAGAUACCC
rnacentral:rRNA from 1 species